rnacentral:rRNA from 1 species
CGGGCAUAGCAAUAUGUCAGCGGCAGACGGGUGAGUAACGCGUGGGAACGUACCUUUUGGUUCGGAACAACUGAGGGAAACUUCAGCUAAUACCGGAUAAGCCCUUACGGGGAAAGAUUUAUCGCCGAAAGAUCGGCCCGCGUCUGAUUAGCUAGUUGGUGAGGUAAUGGCUCACCAAGGCGACGAUCAGUAGCUGGUCUGAGAGGAUGAUCAGCCACAUUGGGACUGAGACACGGCCCAAACUCCUACGGGAGGCAGCAGUGGGGAAUAUUGGACAAUGGGCGCAAGCCUGAUCCAGCCAUGCCGCGUGAGUGAUGAAGGCCCUAGGGUUGUAAAGCUCUUUUGUGCGGGAAGAUAAUGACGGUACCGCAAGAAUAAGCCCCGGCUAACUUCGUGCCAGCAGCCGCGGUAAUACGAAGGGGGCUAGCGUUGCUCGGAAUCACUGGGCGUAAAGGGUGCGUAGGCGGGUCUUUAAGUCAGGGGUGAAAUCCUGGAGCUCAACUCCAGAACUGCCUUUGAUACUGAAGAUCUUGAGUUCGGGAGAGGUGAGUGGAACUGCGAGUGUAGAGGUGAAAUUCGUAGAUAUUCGCAAGAACACCAGUGGCGAAGGCGGCUCACUGGCCCGAUACUGACGCUGAGGCACGAAAGCGUGGGGAGCAAACAGGAUUAUAUACCCUGGUAGUCCACGCCGUAAACGAUGAAUGCCAGCCGUUAGUGGGUUUACUCACUAGUGGCGCAGCUAACGCUUUAAGCAUUCCGCCUGGGGAGUACGGUCGCAAGAUUAAAACUCAAAGGAAUGACGGGGGCCCGCACAAGCGGUGGAGCAUGUGGUUUAUUUCGACGCAACGCGCAGAACCUUACCAGCCCUUGACAUCCCGGUCGCGGACUCCAGAGACGGAGUUCUUCAGUUCGGCUGGAACCGGAGACAGGUGCUGCAU